rnacentral:rRNA from 1 species
UACGUAGGGGGCAAGCGUUGUCCGGAUUUAUUGGGCGUAAAGAGCGUGUAGGCGGCCAGGUAGGUCUGCUGUGAAAAACUCGAGGCUCAACCUCGAGACGUCGGCGGAAACCAUCUGGCUAGAGUCCGGAAGAGGAGAGUGGAAUUCCUGGUGUAGCGGUGAAAUGCGCAGAUAUCUGGAGGAACACCGGUGGUGAAGGCGGCAUCCUGGACCGGUAUUGACGCUGAGGCGCGAAAGCCAGGGGAGCAAACGGG